rnacentral:rRNA from 1 species
ACUCCUACGGGAGGCAGCAGUGGGGAAUAUUGCACAAUGGGCGCAAGCCUGAUGCAGCCAUGCCGCGUGUAUGAAGAAGGCCUUCGGGUUGUAAAGUACUUUCAGCAGUGAGGAAGGUGGAUAUGUUAAUAGCAUAUUCAUUUGACGUUAGCUGCAGAAGAAGCACCGGCUAACUCCGUGCCAGCAGCCGCGGUAAUACGGAGGGUGCGAGCGUUAAUCGGAAUUACUGGGCGUAAAGCGCAUGCAGGUGGUUUGUUAAGUCAGAUGUGAAAGCCCGGGGCUCAACCUCGGAAUUGCAUUUGAAACUGGCAAACUAGAGUACUGUAGAGGGGGGUAGAAUUUCAGGUGUAGCGGUGAAAUGCGUAGAGAUCUGAAGGAAUACCGGUGCGAAGGCGGCCCCCUGGACAGAUACUGACACUCAGAUGCGAAAGCUGGGGGANCGAAACAGGAUUAGAUACCCUGGUAGGCUCU